CUGGACUGAGUGGAUACAUCUCCAUGUGUGGAGGUACUGUCUCCACCACUAUCACUAGCAGGUCUACUGGACUGACUGGACACAUCUCCACCACUAUCAUUAACAGGUCUACUGGACUGAGUGGAUACAUCUCCAUGUGUGGAGGUACUGGCUCCACCACUAUCACUAGCAGGUCUACUGGACUGAGUGGAUACAUCUCCACCACUAUCACUAGCAGGCCUACUGGACUGAAUGGAUACAUCUCCACGUGUGGAGGUGCUGGCUCCACCACUAUCACUAGCAUGUCUACUUGACUGAGUGGAUACAUCUCCACGUGUGGAGGUGCUGGCUCCACCACUAUCACUAGCAGGCCUACUGGACUGAGUGGGUACUGGCUCCACCACUAUCACUAGCAGGUCUACUGGACUGACUGGACACAUCUCCACCACUAUCACUAGCAGGUCUACUGGACUGAGUGGAUACAUCUCCACCACUAUCACUAGCAGGUCUACUGGACUGAGUGGAUACAUCUCCACCACUAUCACUAGCAGGUCUACUGGACUGAGUGGAUACAUCCCCACCACUAUCACUAGCAGGUCUACUGGACUGAGUGGAUACAUCUCCACCACUAACACUAGCAGGUCUACUGGACUGAGUGGAUACAUCUCCACCACUAUCACUAGCAGGUCUACUGGACUGAGUGGAUACAUCUCCACCACUAUCACUAGCAGGUCUACUGGACUGAGUGGAUACAUCUCCACCACUAUCACUAGCAGGUCUACUGGACUGAGUGGAUACAUAUCCACCACUAUCACUAGCAGGCCUACUGGACUGAGUGGAUACAUCUCCAUGUGUGGAGGUACUGGCUCCACCACUAUCACUAGCAGGUCUACUGGACUGAGUGGAUACAUCUCCACCACUAUCACUAGCAGGCCUACUGGACUGAGUGGAUACAUCUCCACGUGUGGAGGUGCUGGCUCCACCACUAUCACUAGCAUGUCUACUUGACUGAGUGGAUACAUCUCCACGUGUGGAGGUGCUGGCUCCACCACUAUCACUAGCAGGCCUACUGGACUGAGUGGGUACUGGCUCCACCACUAUCACUAGCAGGUCUACUGGACUGACUGGACACAUCUCCACCACUAUCACUAGCAGGUCUACUGGACUGAGUGGAUACAUCUCCACCACUAUCACUAGCAGGUCUACUGGACUGAGUGGAUACAUCUCCACCACUAUCACUAGCAGGUCUACUGGACUGAGUGGAUACAUCCCCACCACUAUCACUAGCAGGUCUACUGGACUGAGUGGAUACAUCUCCACCACUAACACUAGCAGGUCUACUGGACUGAGUGGAUACAUCUCCACCACUAUCACUAGCAGGUCUACUGGACUGAGUGGAUACAUCUCCACCACUAUCACUAGCAGGUCUACUGGACUGAGUGGAUACAUCUCCACCACUAUCACUAGCAGGUCUACUGGACUGAGUGGAUACAUAUCCACCACUAUCACUAGCAGGCCUACUGGACUGAGUGGAUACAUCUCCAUGUGUGGAGGUACUGGCUCCACCACUAUCAC
rnacentral:lncRNA from 1 species